AAAAUAAAUGAGUCAAACUUUUUAUCUAUUAAAUAAAUAAAAUUUGAAUUGUGAUUUUUUUGGGGUCAAACUAGAUCCUUAUAUUUUGUCAUUUUAAACGCCACUUAACUUAAUUUAGAUAUAUUUAAUUUUGUGAUUGAUCUAUAAAUAUACUUCUCGGUCUUUCUUAAUUUUAAAACACUAUUAGUUCAUUAUUUAAUUUAUUCUGUCAAAAAACAAAAAAAAAAUAAGAUGAAAAUUUAUUAUCGAUCAUCGCUUAAUUGUCUCGUCAUGCUCACAAUUCUUCUGCUUGGAGUAGUGGCGAAUGUUCAAAAAGGAGGACCAGUCCGAAAACAAUGUGUU